GGAGGGGUGGCAGAGCGGUUUUAAUGCACCAGUCUUGAAAACUGGAGUAUCCGAAAGGGUACCGCGAGUUCGAAUCUCGCCCCCUCCG
rnacentral:tRNA from 1 species